rnacentral:rRNA from 1 species
GGUUUGACGGUACCUUUAAAGGAAGCACCGGCUAACUCCGUGCCAGCAGCCGCGGUAAUACGGGGGGUGCAAGCGUUGUUCGGAAUUAUUGGGCGUAAAGCGCGUGUAGGCGGUCUGAUUAGUCUGAUGUGAAAGCCCUGGGCUCAACCCAGGAAGUGCAUUGGAUACUGUCAGACUUGAAUACGGGAGAGGGUAGUGGAAUUCCUAGUGUAGGAGUGAAAUCCGUAGAUAUUAGGAGGAACACCGGUGGCGAAGGCGKCUACCUGGACCGACAUUGACGCUGAGACGCAAAAGCGUGAGUAGCAAACAGGAUUAGAUACCCUGGUAGUCCACGCCGUAAACGAUGAGAACUAGGUGUCGCGGGUA